GAACUGAAGAGUUUGAUCAUGGCUCAGAUUGAACGCUGGCGGCAGGCCUAACACAUGCAAGUCGAGCGGAUGAAGGGGGCUUGCUCCUGGAUUCAGCGGCGGACGGGUGAGUAAUGCCUAGGAAUCUGCCUGGUAGUGGGGGAUAACGUCCGGAAACGGGCGCUAAUACCGCAUACGUCCUGAGGGAGAAAGUGGGGGAUCUUCGGACCUCACGCUAUCAGAUGAGCCUAGGUCGGAUUAGCUAGUUGGUGGG
rnacentral:rRNA from 1 species